AUUUCACAACAUUGCAUUUUGAAGUUCCUUUUUUUUUCUACAUUUGAAAACAUGAUCUUGCCUUUACGUUUAUAUGCACUAAUUUUAAUUUAUUUUAUAAUAAUUGUUUAAUUCUACUCUGUCUGUAGUAAAGCUCCAAGAUGAAUGCAAGAGGAAGAAAUGGGCCGUUGUUUAUCAAGACGUACAGUAAAAGAAUGCGAAAGGUGGAGCCGUGGUUCUCUCCUGACCUGAAGAAAGCAGCUUUCUCGUUUUCAAGCACUCUUUCAUCAGAUCAGUCCAUAACAGAGACCACACAACCCAAGAAACGGAGAAUAAGAGAAAGAGCUUCCCGUCCUGCCAAGAGCAAAGGCAUGACUGCUAUAAAGGAGAACGAGGAAAACUACUCACCGUCCUCAUUGUUCAGAAAGAAGACAAAUGCAAAACCAUCAGUGAGGACGACAGCUGUGAGGAAGACUCGAACGGCAAAAACAAAUAAACCGAUCAUUCUCAGCAGCAGUGAAAAUGAGGAUGACUCCUGUAUGAUAAAGAAAAGAAUUCGUCCGAAAACGUCUGCUGGUGAAUGUGCUGGUGCUGAGAAAGUGUUCGGCGCUCAAUGUUUGCCUAAGUUCGUCACACAUCGCAGAAGACCACCAGCACCCAUCCAAACCAAUCCGAUCGUAAGUAACAGUCUGCAAGGGGGGUUCUUGGUUUCUAUUGGAUUGGCAUUAAAACAGUUUUUUUCUUUCCCUCUAGUCUGUUGAUGAUUCCUUAGAUGACUUUCUUCCUCCAUUCUCCCAAAACAAGCGGAAGCCGCUUCACAUGGGCUCCAAUAAUCAUGCUGCUCUCAAGAACCGCGUGGCUCUGGCUGAAGUCUCGUUCAAUGACAGCGAUGACCAGCAGCUCCCAAGUAAACGUCCUCUGCUGUCGAGUACACCUUCUCUGGUCUGCAGACGGCUCCAAACCUUACCAGAGCGCUCCAUCAGUGAGAUCUCCUCCCUCAGCUUUGAUGAACUUCACCAGCCUGCAGAAAACAACUACAGCCUUCAUAAUCUGAAGAAUAUGAAAGCGUGUGACCACACAAGUCACCAACUCACAAACCCAGGGAUCUCCUCGGGAGAGAGAGUGAUGGAGCAGAAGGAAGGAGAACGGGAUGCAGUUGUGGAAGAGAGAGCUGGGGAUGGAGAGAGGGAUAAAAAAGGAAAUCCUGGAUGCGUUUCACGACAGUCACGUCUAGAAUCUUUAGCAGACGAGUUAAAGGAGAGGUGAGUAAUGCCUCUUUAUUCACAAAGUGAAAACUCUUACACUUGUGAUUUAUGAUUAUUAAUUUUUUAUUAUUAUAGUGAGAUUUUUUUUGGCCGCAAACGUUUACAUGUCCAGUCAAAAGUUUGGAAACCUGUGUGUAAAAACCUGUCGGUUCCACUUUUUGAGCAUAGACGUGAAAAUGACAUUUCCAGCUUGAACGGUUUUAAACAGUGCCACAGACUUAAGGUUGGUCUUUUUUCAAAACAGACACUUGGCAGGUUAUUGUAGAAGUGAAAAAGUUAUAAUGGUUAUAUAACAAAAAAGUUAUGUUUAUGAAAAUAUAAAAACAGUUAUUUUAUAUAAAAUUCAUAUUUUACAAAACAUGUUUUACUCUAAAACUGCUAGAAAAUCUACAUUCUGAACAAGUUAUAUUCCAAAUUUGA
rnacentral:lncRNA from 1 species